rnacentral:rRNA from 1 species
AACAAACGCUGGCGGCAGGCUUAACACAUGCAAGUCGAACGCACCUUUCGGGGUGAGUGGCAGACGGGUGAGUAACGCGUGGGAAUCUACCCUUCUCUACGGGAUAGCUCCGGGAAACUGGAAUUAAUACCGUAUACGUCCUGAGGGAGAAAGAUUUAUCGGGGAAGGAUGAGCCCGCGUUGGAUUAGCUAGUUGGUGGGGUAAGGGCCUACCAAGGCGACGAUCCAUAGCUGGUCUAAGAGGAUGAUCAGCCACAUUGGGACUGAGACACGGCCCAAACUCCUACGGGAGGCAGCAGUGGGGAAUAUUGGACAAUGGGCGCAAGCCUGAUCCAGCCAUGCCGCGUGAGUGAUGAAGGCCCUAGGGUUGUAAAGCUCUUUCAGUGGGGACGAUAAUGACGGUACCCACAGAAGAAGCCCCGGCUAACUUCGUG